rnacentral:rRNA from 1 species
UACGUAGGGGGCAAGCGUUGUCCGGAUUUAUUGGGCGUAAAGAGCGUGUAGGCGGCCAGGUAGGUCUGCUGUGAAAACUCGAGGCUCAACCUCGAGACGUCGGCGGAAACCAUCUGGCUAGAGUCCGGAAAAGGAGAGUGGAAUUCCUGGUGUAGCGGUGAAAUGCGCAGAUAUCAGGAAGAACACCCGUGGCGAAGGCGGCUCUCUGGGACGGUACUGACGCUGAGACGCGAAAGCGUGGGGAGCGAACAGG